UUACAAUGCAAGCGCUCUGUUUUGUGUUGCUUGCAUGGGCAGUGCAAUUAGAACCGCUGUAAAUUAGGGGUCUGCUGCUUGGAACAGUUAUUGCACUUGAGCUCCUGAUUGUUGGCAGAGAAGAGCCACCUGGAAGAGCUGGUGUGGGACACACGCACCUGUCUGCAGAGAGCAUUCUGGUCUCUGUCCACAAUCAGAGGAGCCUUCUUCCUGUUCCAGCUAAACACAGGCCGGUAAGUCGAGAGUCUCUGCAUCCAGUAGCUGAUUUGCUGAGCGAUUUAAGGCAGAAACUUUACUGGGAAUGAAAAGACUGAUGGCUGUGGCUGACUGCUAUCCCUCUACCUGCCUAGGCUGGCCCCGCCGUGAGCACGCUCCCCAGGCUGGGUGCUGGGAUUAAAGGCUUGUGCCAACACUGCCCGCCUGGAUUCUUAAGAAUUUUCAGGGGCACAAUGCCGCCUACACAAAGGCCCUGAAAGGAUUCUGCAGGAGCUUGCUUUGACGUAGACUUAUUUCUUUCCAAGUGGCGGCCGUCUCCUGAACACAGCCUUUGCUGUCAUCUCCCUGGUUGCAUGGAAAGCGGCUUGUGGGAAGGGUCUAGAGACUGGUAAAUAAAUAA